GAUGAACGCUGGCGGCGUGCCUAAUACAUGCCAGUCGAGCGAACAGACGAGGAGCUUGCUCCUCUGACGUUAGCGGCGGACGGGUGAGUAACACGUGGAUAACCUACCUAUAAGACUGGGAUAACUUCGGGAAACCGGAGCUAAUACCGGAUAAUAUAUUGAACCGCAUGGGUCAAUAGUGAAAGACGGUUUUGCUGUCACUUAUAGAUGGAUCCGCGCCGCAUUAGCUAGUUGGUAAGGUAACGGCUUACCAAGGCAACGAUGCGUAGCCGACCGGAGAGGGUGAUCGGCCACACUGGAACUGAGACACGGUCCAGACUCCUACGGGAGGCAGCAGUAGGGAAUCUUCCGCAAUGGGCGAAAGCCUGACGGAGCAACGCCGCGUGAGUGAUGAAGGUCUUCGGAUCGUAAAACUCUGUUAUUAGUGAAGAACAAAUGUGUAAGUAACUAUGCACGUCUUGACGGUACCUAAUCAGAAAGCCACGGCUAACUACGUG
rnacentral:rRNA from 1 species